ACGAACGCUGGCGGCAUGCCUAACACAUGCAAGUCGAACGAGACCUUCGGGUCUAGUGGCGCACGGGUGCGUAACGCGUGGGAACCUGCCCUUAGGUUCGGAAUAACUCCCCGAAAGGGGUGCUAAUACCGGAUAAUGUCUUCGGACCAAAGAUUUAUCGCCUUUGGAUGGGCCCGCGUUGGAUUAGCUAGUUGGUAGGGUAAAAGCCUACCAAGGCGACGAUCCAUAGCUGGUCUGAGAGGAUGAUCAGCCACACUGGGACUGAGACACGGCCCAGACUCCUACGGGAGGCAGCAGUGGGGAAUAUUGGACAAUGGGCGAAAGCCUGAUCCAGCAAUGCCGCGUGAGUGAUGAAGGCCUUAGGGUUGUAAAGCUCUUAUACCCGGGAUGAUAAUGACAGUACCGGGAGAAUAAGCUCCGGCUAACUCCGUG
rnacentral:rRNA from 1 species